rnacentral:rRNA from 1 species
CAGUAGCCGCGGUGAUACGAAGGUCCCGAGCGUUGUUCGGAAUCACUGGGCGUAAAGGGAGCGUAGGCGGCGUGGUAAGUCAGAUGUGAAAUCCCGGGGCUCAACCCCGGAACUGCAUCCGAUACUGCCAUGCUAGAGGAUUGGAGAGGUAGCUGGAAUUCUUGGUGUAGCAGUGAAAUGCGUGGAGAUCAAGAGGAACACUCGUGGCGAAAGCGAGCUACUGGACGAUAACUGACGCUGAGGCUCGAAGGCCAGGGUAGCGUAAGGGAUUAGAUACCCGGGUAGUCCCUGUCUCUUAUAC